rnacentral:rRNA from 1 species
UACAGAGGGGGCAAGCGUUAUUCGGAAUCAUUGGGCGUAAAGCGCGUGUAGGCGGCUCGGUAAGUCCGCUCUGAAAGUCCGGGGCUCAACCCCGGGAGGCGGGUGGAUACUGUCGAGCUCGAGUCCGGAAGAGGCGAGUGGAAUUCCUGGUGUAGCGGUGAAAUGCGCAGAUAUCAGGAGGAACACCGAUGGCGAAGGCAGCUCGCUGGGACGUGACUGACGCUGAGACGCGAAAGCGUGGGGAGCAAACAGG